rnacentral:rRNA from 1 species
CGGGUGAGUAACGCGUGGAUAACCUGCCGUAUGCAGGGGGAUACCAACUGGAAACAGUUGCUAAUACCGCAUAAGCGCACAGCACCGCAUGGUGCAGUGUGAAAAGAUUUAUCGGCAUACGAUAGAUCCGCGUCCGAUUAGCCAGUUGGCGGGGUAGAAGCCCACCAAAGCGACGAUCGGUAGCCGGCCUGAGAGGGCGGACGGCCACAUUGGGACUGAGACACGGCCCAAACUCCUACGGAAGGCAGCAG